rnacentral:rRNA from 1 species
GACGAACCGUGCGAACGUUGUUCGGAAUAACUGGGCUUAAAGGGAGCGUAGGCGGGCUAACAAAGUCUGGGGUGAAAUCCCCAGGCUCAACCUGGGAACUGCAUCCGAUACUGGAUGGCUUGAAUCCGGGAGAGGGAUGCAGAAUUCCUGGUGUAGCGGUGAAAUGCGUAGAUAUCUGGAGGAAUACCGGUGGCGAAGGCGGCAUCCUGGACCGGCAUUGACGCUGAGGAGCGAAAGCUAGGGGAGCAAACGGG